rnacentral:rRNA from 1 species
UACGGAGGGUGCAAGCGUUAUCCGGAUUCACUGGGUUUAAAGGGUGCGUAGGUGGGUUGGUGAAGUCAGUGGUGAAAUCCCCGAGCUUAACUUGGGAACUGCCAUUGAUACUAUUAAUCUUGAAUACUGUGGAGGUCAGCGGAAUAUGUCAUGUAGCGGUGAAAUGCUUAGAUAUGACAUAGAACACCAAUUGCGAAGGCAGCUGGCUACACAAAUAUUGACACUGAGGCACGAAAGCGUGGGGAGCAAACAGG